UACAGAGGGUGCAAGCGUUGUUCGGAAUUACUGGGCGUAAAGCGCGUGUAGGCGGCCUCGCAAGUCUCGUGUGAAAGCCCUGGGCUCAACCCAGGAAGUGCGCGAGAUACUGCGGAGCUGGAGUGGCGGAGAGGAUGGCGGAAUUCCCGGUGUAGAGGUGAAAUUCGUAGAUAUCGGGAGGAACACCUGUGGCGAAGGCGGCCAUCUGGACGUCAACUGACGCUGAGACGCGAAAGCGUGGGGAGCAAACAGG
rnacentral:misc_RNA from 1 species